GACGUAGGGCGCGAGCGUUGUCCGGAUUUAUUGGGCGUAAAGAGCUCGUAGGCGGCUUGUCGCGUCGUCCGUGAAAACUUGGGGCUCAACCCCAAGCCUGCGGUCGAUACGGGCAGGCUAGAGUUCGGUAGGGGAGACUGGAAUUCCUGGUGUAGCGGUGAAAUGCGCAGAUAUCAGGAGGAACACCGGUGGCGAAGGCGGGUCUCUGGGCCGAUACUGACGCUGAGGAGCGAAAGCGUGGGGAGCAAACAGG
rnacentral:rRNA from 1 species